AAGGAUCAUUACUGAUUUGCUUAAUUGCACCACAUGUGUUUUUCUUUGAAACAAACUUGCUUUGGCGGUGGGCCCAGCCUGCCGCCAGAGGUCUAAACUUACAACCAAUUUUUUAUCAACUUGUCACACCAGAUUAUUACUAAUAGUCAAAACUUUCAACAACGGAUCUCUUGGUUCUC
rnacentral:misc_RNA from 1 species